rnacentral:lncRNA from 1 species
CCACGACGACUAUAUAUGUUCAGAGCAAAAUACAGAGUAUCAGAAGGGAAGGACUCAGAAAUCUCUAAACGGCCACAAAAAUCUCUCUCGAAUAAUCGAUUUUCAGAGGCUUCUCCCAUCUUCAUCCCCUCUCCGUCGCACCAUCUCCGACCACCCGAAGCCGCUGCUCAUCCACCGUCGCCAACCACCACAGGUUACAGCACAGAACCGAGCACAUUUGCAUACACAGAGAGCUCACCAUGAAUUUCCUCUCCCGGAACGAUUCCUCCCGUUCACUCUUUGCCCUGUUUCUUGGCCACCGCCGGCGAAGUGCUCAAACCUUGGUCAACACUGCCUCCUUCAACGAUUCCAGUCAGAAAUGUUGCUCCUAUGAUCUCCCUACUCAGAUCUGAUCCUCAUCUCCUUACUAAAAGAUUUUGGGAAUUUCAUUGAAUUGGCAAAUUAGGAUUUAGAAAUUUGGGAUUGAGACAUUUUUUUUAUGC